rnacentral:rRNA from 1 species
CACUUCGCUGACGAGUGGCGGACGGGUGAGUAAUGCUUGGGAACUUGCCUUUAGGUGGGGGAUAACAGUUGGAAACGACUGCUAAUACCGCAUAAUGUCUACGGACCAAAGGGGGCUUCGGCUCCCGCCUUGAGAGAGGCCCAAGUGAGAUUAGCUAGUUGGUGGGGUAAAGGCCUACCAAGGCAACGAUCUCUAGCUGUUCUGAGAGGAAGAUCAGCCACACUGGGACUGAGACACGGCCCAGACUCCUACGGGAGGCAGCAGUGGGGAAUAUUGCACAAUGGGGGAAACCCUGAUGCAGCCAUGCCGCGUGUGUGAAGAAGGCCUUCGGGUUGUAAAGCACUUUCAGUUGUGAGGAAAGGUUGGUAGUUAAUACCUGCCAGCUGUGACGUUAACAACAGAAGAAGCACCGGCUAACUCCGUGCCAGCAGCCGCGGUAAUACGGAGGGUGCGAGCGUUAAUCGGAAUUACUGGGCGUAAAGCGCACGCAGGCGGCUUGUUAAGCUAGAGGUGAAAGCCCCGCGCUCAACGUGGGAACUGCCUUUAGAACUGGCAGGCUAGAGUCUUGGAGAGGGGAGUGGAAUUCCAGGUGUAGCGGU